AGAUUGAACGCUGGCGGCAUGCUUUACACAUGCAAGUCGAACGGUAACAGGCCGCAAGGUGCUGACGAGUGGCGAACGGGUGAGUAAUGUAUCGGAACGUGCCCAGUCGUGGGGGAUAACGCAGCGAAAGCUGCGCUAAUACCGCAUACGAUCUAUGGAUGAAAGCGGGGGACCGUAAGGCCUCGCGCGAUUGGAGCGGCCGAUAUCAGAUUAGGUAGUUGGUGGGGUAAAGGCUCACCAA
rnacentral:rRNA from 1 species